AACGUAGGGGACAAGCGUUAUCCGGAUUUACUGGGCGUAAAGCGCCCGUAGGCGGCCUGAUAAGUUGGACGUGAAAGCUCCCGGCUUAACUGGGAGAGGCCGUUCAAAACUGUGAGGCUAGAGUGAGGCAGAGGAGCGCGGAAUUCCCGGUGUAGUGGUGGAAUGCGUAGAGAUCGGGAGGAACACCAGUGGCGAAAGCGGCGCUCUGGGCCUAAACUGACGCUGAGGGGCGAAAAGCGUGGGGAGCGAACGGG
rnacentral:rRNA from 1 species